rnacentral:sRNA from 1 species
CAUUUGCGUUAGCGAUUGCAGUGGCAUCCUUUUAUGGUUUUUUUCGACCAUAAAAGAUAUAACGGAAAGCGCGCCCCAAA